UACAGAGGGUGCGAGCGUUAAUCGGAAUUACUGGGCGUAAAGCGUGCGUAGGCGGUCAUGUAAGUCGGGUGUGAAAGCCCCGGGCUCAACCUGGGAAUUGCAUUCGAGACUGCAUGGCUAGGGUGCGGAAGAGGGAAGCGGAAUUUCCGGUGUAGCGGUGAAAUGCGUAGAUAUCGGAAGGAACACCAGUGGCGAAAGCGGCUUCCUGGUCCGACACCGACGUUCAGGCACGAAAGCGUGGGGAGCAAACAGG
rnacentral:rRNA from 1 species